rnacentral:lncRNA from 1 species
AAUGGGAGCUUUGUCCGACGAACUUCGUCGACGGAGAUUACUUUCACUUCAAAGAAGAUGAGGUCAAUGCUACUUUCAGUUGUCCAGAGUGCAUUUUUCCUGUUAGUAAGUCCAUAUAUGAUUCUCAAUAUAUAUAUAAUUCUCAUCAAACAAAACUUAGUUUGAUAGAUUUUCGUAUAUAUUGCUUCAGAGCUUGAAAAGCGCCACACUGAUUCCGUGGUGGUUGUAACCGGAUUUUUACUAGCAUCCAUUCUUAUAAUCACCGGAUUGGUCUCUUGCUUCUUAUGUUAUCGGAAAAAAAAACGAAACGAAGAAGAAAAAGUGCGAUUUUUCGAGAUGUUUCAGAUCGAAGACAUGGAUGAUGAACUUGGUAUCAGCACAAUCACCAUGAAGUAAUUAUUAACCAAAACAAAUCCUUCUAAGUUCUAUGUUAUAUCUCAAAAAAUGUUGUGUUGCGAAAAUGUACAAUUUAACUAUGCUCGGAUAAUCUAGUGUUAACAUUCUAUGAAAGGUGAAACUUCUUUUUAAUUUACUGUCAAAAAAUCACCUGAGAUAUCCAAAGCUCCAAACCCUAAGAAGAAAUACCAAAUUAAAAAUGAAGCGAUCGAUCAUUAUAAGAAAAAAGACUCAAGGUUGCUAAAUCCAUCGCUAACCCAAUAGACGACAUUUGAAAAAGCCAUCGUCGAUUCUUAAAGUCGGCGACGUUUUAUGAGAGAGCCGUCGCUAGCCCAAUAGAAAAAACCAUAAUCAGGAAGGGCAGAAGAAUUUUCGUCAUUUUUUAGGAUGAUUAGUUUAACCGCUGACAAUAAAAAAACAGUUGGGUUUGGGUAUGGUUGUUGAUG